CCCAGCUUGCUGGGGGAUUAGUGGCGAACGGGUGAGUAACACGUGAGUAACCUGCCCUUAACUCUGGGAUAAGCCUGGGAAACUGGGUCUAAUACCGGAUAUGACUCCUCAUCGCAUGGUGGGGGGUGGAAAGCUUUAUUGUGGUUUUGGAUGGACUCGCGGCCUAUCAGCUUGUUGGUGAGGUAAUGGCUCACCAAGGCGACGACGGGUAGCCGGCCUGAGAGGGUGACCGGCCACACUGGGACUGAGACACGGCCCAGACUCCUACGGGAGGCAGCAGUGGGGAAUAUUGCACAAUGGGCGCAAGCCUGAUGCAGCGACGCCGCGUGAGGGAUGACGGCCUUCGGGUUGUAAACCUCUUUCAGUAGGGAAGAAGCGAAAGUGACGGUACCUGCAGAAGAAGCGCCGGCUAACUACGUGCCAGCAGCCGCGGUAAUACGUAGGGCGCAAGCGUUAUCCGGAAUUAUUGGGCGUAAAGAGCUCGUAGGCGGUUUGUCGCGUCUGCCGUGAAAGUCCGGGGCUCAACUCCGGAUCUGCGGUGGGUACGGGCAGACUAGAGUGAUGUAGGGGAGACUGGAAUUCCUGGUGUAGCGGUGAAAUGCGCAGAUAUCAGGAGGAACACCGAUGGCGAAGGCAGGUCUCUGGGCAUUAACUGACGCUGAGGAGCGAAAGCAUGGGGAGCGAACAGGAUUAGAUACCCUGGUAGUCCAUGCCGUAAACGUUGGGCACUAGGUGUGGGGGACAUUCCACGUUUUCCGUACCGUAGCUAACGCAUUAAGUGCCCCGCCUGGGGAGUACGGCCGC
rnacentral:rRNA from 1 species